rnacentral:misc_RNA from 1 species
UCCACGUUAUCCGCGGCAGUCUCCCAAGAGUCCUCCCCUUGCGGGGUAGCAACAUGGGACGAGGGUUGCGCUCGUUGCGGGACUUAACCCAACAUCUCACGACACGAGCUGACGACAACCAUGCAGCACCUCGGCUGGCUCCCUUGCGGGGCACCUGUUUCCAGGUGUUUCCGGUUCAUGUCAAGCCUUGGUAAGGUUCUUCGCGUUGCAUCGAAUUAAUCCGCAUGCUCCGCCGCUUGUGCGGGCCCCCGUCAAUUCCUUUGAGUUUUAGCCUUGCGGCCGUACUCCCCAGGCGGGGCACUUAAUGCGUUAGCUUCGGCACGGAUGGGGUCGAUGUCCACCCACACCUAGCACCCAACGUUUACGGCUAGGACUAC